CAGAGGGAGGUGCGAUGCAUUUUCAGCCCCGUCAGCAAGAUCGGCGACAGCCACGGUGGCCCGUGGCCCAGGCUACUGUCCAGCCGCUACCGGGUGCUGGACGGUUUGAGGGGACUCCUCGCGAAGACCCGGGUCCUGCCCUCCUGGAGCAGGAGGAGGAACUCAGCAAGCGAUUGCACAAACACAGGAAUUCCUUCUAGGGGAG